GAGUUUGAUCCUGGCUCAGGAUGAACGCUAGCGGCAGGCUUAACACAUGCAAGUCGAGGGGUAACAUUGUAGCUUGCUACAGAUGACGACCGGCGCACGGGUGCGUAACGCGUAUAGAACCUACCUUUUACUGAGGAAUAGCCUUUAGAAAUGAAGAUUAAUGCCUCAUAGUAUUGAGACUCGGCAUCGAGACUUAAUUAAAGAUUUAUUGGUAAAAGAUGGCUAUGCGUCCUAUUAGUUAGAUGGUAAGGUAACGGCUUACCAUGACUUCGAUAGGUAGGGGUCCUGAGAGGGAGAUCCCCCACACUGGUGCNGAGACACGGACCAGACUCCUACGGGAGGCAGCAGUGAGGAAUAUUGGGCAAUGGGAGGCAACUCUGACCCAGCCNUGCCGCGUGCAGGAAGACGGCCCUNUGGGGUUGUANACUGCUUUUUAR
rnacentral:rRNA from 1 species